GUCUCUCCCAUGAUGAGCACUAGGAGUUUCUCAGCAACAAAGCUUACACCUAGUUGCAUUAGUUCAGCUGAUGUUCUUUAACCUUAUGCUUGCAUAUCAAGAAGAUUCAUACGAAUACAGAUGACAAACCAAGUGAGAGAAGUAGAGCAGUUGAUUACUUCCAGGAGAUUGUAACCUAGGCCACCCCAUAGGCCAUCUUUUUUAGUUUUGGAAAACCAAGUGGCCACUACCAACAAGACCAUUCUCAAUCUGACAAUUAUAGGGAUAAAAGCUUCGCAUUUGGUACCUGUGGAGAAGGACGCAAUGUAGUGUCUAUUUCUUAUAUUGUUUCAAACAAAACAAAGGAAAAGAAACUUACAGGGAUGCCUCCACUAAUGGGGGCAAACUGGGAAAUGCCCAACUUAGAGACUGCUGUUCAACUGUCCAAGACUCAGCUGCCACCAUUUGUUGCUUGGACCGACUCCAAUAUGCUCAUCUACCACUGCAGAAUCAAGAUGAUAAUGCUCACUUCAAUGAUGGCGACUAAAAGACCUCUUUGUAGGUCCUUGAGGAAACCCAAAGGACCACGAAGAUAGCAAUGGAGAGUAUUUCCGAAGUACCUGUAACUAUCCCCAUAUCCGCAUGCUCAUGCCUUCUGACAAGUUCAACAGUGGUGGUAUGUGCUAAUAAUGGCCAAAACUCCUCUGGAUGCUAAAGGCAAAGACUGUGAGAGCUUAUGCUUCAAGAGAGACUGUCUUUUUGACUUUGUCAAGCUUAUGUCUCAAGAGAUGGUCGAGCUUACGCCUCAAGGAAUGGCAGAGCUAAUGCCUCAUGAGGUGGUCAAACUAAUACCUCAUGAGAUGGCCAAGCUUGAAAGAUUGCUCAUUAAGGUUUUUGAUUAGUGUAUUUUGUAAACUUACUUGGAUAAAAAAUAUAGACAUUUAACAGCUCUUUUAAGUAGUUAUAGCCUAAUUUAUUGCAUAUUUAG
rnacentral:lncRNA from 1 species